AUUGAACGCUGGCGGCGUGCUUAACACAUGCAAGUCGAACGCGAAAGGGACUUCGGUCCUGAGUAAAGUGGCGCACGGGUGAGUAACGCGUGGAUAAUCUGCCCUUAUGAUUGGAAUAACAGUUGGAAACGGCUGCUAAUACCGGAUACGCUCAAAAUGAACUUUUUGAGGAAAGAUGGCCUCUGCUUGCAUGCUAUCGCAUAAGGAUGAGUCCGCGUCCCAUUAGCUUGUUGGCGGGGUAACGGCCCACCAAGGCAACGAUGGGUAGCCGAUUUGAGAGGAUGAUCGGCCACACUAGAACUGAAACACGGGCCAGACUCCGACGGGAGGCAGCAGUGGGGAAUAUUGCGCAAUGGGCGAAAGCCUGACGCAGCGACGCCGCGUGAGGGAUGAAGGUUUUCGGAUCGUAAACCUCUGUCAGAAGGGAAGAAACUACGUUGUGCUAAUCAGCAGCGUACUGACGGUACCUUCAAAGGAAGCACCGGCUAACUCCGUGCCAGCCGCCGCUGUAA
rnacentral:rRNA from 1 species